CUAGUUUCCCGGCAGUCGAUCACUCACUCAACCUGGGUGUGAUGCUUAUUUGAAUCAUCACAACCUCCUUGAGUGAGCGACCGAUUGAUGG
rnacentral:pre_miRNA from 1 species